rnacentral:rRNA from 1 species
AUUGAACGCUGGCGGCAUGCCUUACACAUGCAAGUCGAACGGCAGCACGGGUGCUUGCACCUGGUGGCGAGUGGCGAACGGGUGAGUAAUACAUCGGAACGUACCUUAUCGUGGGGGAUAACGCAGCGAAAGCUGUGCUAAUACCGCAUACGCCCUGAGGGGGAAAGCGGGGGAUCGAAAGACCUCGCGCGAUUAGAGCGGCCGAUGCCUGAUUAGCUUGUUGGUGGGGUAAAAGCCCACCAAGGCGACGAUCAGUAGCUGGGCUGAGAGGAGGGUCAGCCAAACUGGGACUAAGACACGGCCCAGACUCCUGCGGGAGGCAGAAGUGGGGAAUUUUGGACAAUGGGGGCAACCCUGAUCCAGCAAUGCCGCGUGAGUGAAGAAGGCCUUCGGGUUGUAAAGCUCUUUUGUCAGGGAAGAAACACCGGCUCUAACACAGACCGGGAAUGACGGUACCUGAAGAAUAAGCACCGGCUAACUACGUGCCAGCCGCCGCAGUAA